rnacentral:lncRNA from 1 species
UACAUUCUUCACCUCCCUUCCGCUUCUGAAGCACAGCCCGACGGCCUAACGAGGCAGCAGGCUGUGCUUUAUCCCAGGGCUCUGCAGACCGCGGCUGUGGCCCAGCCUGCAGCGGGCACGGCUCGGGGAGCGGCGGUUACGAAACCCGUGAGGGAGGGCUGCGGGGAGCGGGAGCCGGCGGCGGGCUGCCUUGCUGCUCGGUACCACAGCCCUGUCGGGGGUCGGGGACGAGAGACGGGGCUGCGGGCCGCUCGGAGAGGGGAGUUCCGACCUUCUAAACAAACACUGGUUAGGAAUAACGAACAAACAGCCCCGCCGUGCCCGCCUGCAUGGCAGUUUUGUAAUCGCCGAUGGAGGGGGAGGGUGCCGUGCGGGCGGGCUGCGUGGCUGCGUAGGUCUUACAUAAGGGACGGAGGGCGGGAGGCGGAGCGGGAAUCGGUGUUACGGCUCGGUGCCCCAGACCCGCAGCGAGACGUGAGGGGUGGGGCAGGGGUAAGGGGAAAGCAGGGGACGCCCGAGGGGAACAGCGCGGUAUCGCCGCGCAUGCGCGCUACCCUCAGCGGGAGCGCGCGGAGCACGAUACAUAACAGUGCUCGGGCACGCGCCCGGAGCAGCAGCAGCAGCAGCAGCAGCGGCGGCGGCAGCUCAGCUCAGCUCAGCCCAGCUCAGCCCGGCCCGUCCCGUCCCGGCCCGGCGGCCCCGCGGCCCCUGGCGCCGCCCAGCUGGGCGGGAAUCCCGCCUCGCCGCCACCUCCCGCCGCGGCCGGCAGCGAACACACUUCAGAAACGUGAGGGCCGGCGGUCACGUGGGGGCGGAGGCGGCCAAUCGGCGGCGGGGGGCGGGGCGGGGCGGCCGGCGGAGCCCCGGCGCAGUCACAGGGCGAGCGGCGAGGUGGCGGCCGGCGGCGCGGCACGAGGAGAGCCGGAGAGCUGCGCGGCCGCUCCGCGUUCCCGAGCCCGUCCCGUCCCGUCCCGUCCCGCCGAGCCGCGGGUUCUCCGCGCGGUGAUGCGUCCCCGUCGGGCGGCCGCCUCCGCCGGGUCCUAG